GUUUAAGGUGGAAGGGAGGUUGUUUGUCGGCUGCUUGGGAAGGUAUUGGGAACAGCUUAUGUUUUUCUUUCACAAAAAAGCAGCAGGCACCACAGAGAGAGUCGGCUGUCUAGGUUUUUGAUGUGCACAGACCUUGCUUCUCUGAACCGGGAGAGAGGUGUUUGCCCCUCACUGCGGGGGCCCAGCACAGGUGGUUCCUGCUGGCUCCUGUCCUGGUCAUCUCGUCCUUGGAGUUGUGGGAAUCCCUCCCAGAGUGUGGGAUAGGCUGACAAUCCUGCAUGUUAUUGUUGUGGUGAAUGUUUUCUCUUUAAGGGAUUUCAGUGGGAAAUUUAGAGGAACGUAGAGGAGGCUGUUGGGUAUUUUACCCUGCGUGCUUCCUUUAGAGGCUGUUCUGAGCUAUGGACUUUGUAAUCCUUGGACCCGGGAUUCUUACCAUGUUCUUUUCAACUGGUUUUUUGUUACUGUGUUUGUUCUGAAGACAGUGUCCUGGGGGAAUGAGACUUCUCCUUAACGCGCCGCUUGACUGACAGACACCCUUAAUGUAGCAUGUCCAAGUCUACGUUCUUUCUGAUAAUGAAUGCAUCUGGCAGAGAUGGAAGCCUCAUCUUCUGUUAUUAACAUUGUUUCACAGCCUCAGAUCAGUCACUGCACAACUCCAGGGGAGCCUACACAUCAAAUCGUGAUUUUUUUCAAGGAAGAGGCCAUGAGUACGUCAGCUGAGGUCACUUUGUAAGGAAAAUUGAGAUUGUGUUCCCAAGAUUCCAGCCACUUCCCAGGGACACUGGCUUGGUUCUUGUUCUUACCCAGUUCACUGUCUCAGCUUCCAGAGGACAGAACCUUACCUCACUGGAUCCUUAACAGCUCCUCAUUCCCUGCCUCCUCACCACCCUACCACCUCAGCUGCUGGAAACCAUCAUUCUAUUCUCUAUGUCUAUGAAUUCAACUUAUUAGAUCCACAAAGAGGUGGAGAUGAUGUCGGUGCCAUUACUCGGAUGCCACGGUGGAAAUCAACAUGUCAACCUACCAGACUGUAAGCAAACAGCUUAGAAGGCUGGGACUUUCAUUCAUUUGGUUCACUGCUGUAUCCCUAGUGCUGGGAAAUGUUCCUGAGUGCUCAACAAAUAUGACUUGAAUGAUUAUUUUCUGAAACUUUCAAUUUUAGGAAGCUAAAUUAAAAACCCAUUUGAAAGGGGUCAACUUUGAAGGUGUCUUUACAUUUCUUCCUUAGUUAAGAUCUACUCAGAGAGAUCCGGCACUAUUGUGCUCAAGUAAUACUGUCCUUACCCGACUCCCCUGAAAACAAAUGAGUCCUAAGGCAGCCAGGCAGAUCUUUUAGGAUGUUCCAUCCCACAAGUGAAAUAUAAACAUGCUUCACCCAGGAGAUGACUCUAGUUUCACUAUACAAGACCCUUCAACUUUUUUCACAUUAGACUGAAGUGUUAGGUCAGAUUUCCUCAGUAUGGCAAAGGUGACUCUUUGUUUUGAGACCGAGUCUUGCUCUGGCUCUGUCGCUGGAGUGCAGUGGCACAAUCUGGCUCACGGCAAGCU